ACCUCUUACAGCUCUGUUAGAAUUUUGUCUGGUAGGUUUUCUGACUUUAAUUGGAAAACCAAG
ensembl:snRNA LOC120093933 U7 small nuclear RNA